GCCCCUGCCCAGCCCAGAUGACGCUAUAAAGGCCUUCUUUGAAAGAGAAAGAAUGAGGUGUCAUUCUGUGCAGGGAUCCCAAGGGACCAGGCAUCCAGCCUUCCCAGUCUGCAGCCCCCGGACCCUCUCCUGGUGUUGUUCUUCAGGCCUUAGUCACAUCUGGGAGUCCCUUCCAGGCUUGGCAGGCAGAGUAUCUCAAGAUGAAAAGAAAAACAUCUUUCUUUGCUUGUUGGCUGUGGUUUCACCUUCUACUACUUUUAGGAAAUGCUGUCACUUCUAAUGCUAGCACAAUAGCCGUCUCUCUUGAAUCAACCACACCAUCCAGCAGGACCACCACAGUCACCUCCCCUGGACCAACCACACCACCCCGUGGAACUAAUACAACAGCUACAACCUCCAAUGGCACCAGCACAAGUCCUGCCCCACCAAGGAAAGAGGAAAACGCUAAAGGAUACCUGAGGCCUGGGGAAGUCGUCCUGGUCACUCUGGCCUCGGUUGCAAUGGCGGUGACUCUCCUCACUGGACUCCUCUUCCAUUUUAGAAACUCUCUGAGCCUAAGAAACCUCUUCAGCGUAGAUCUCGCACCACCACCAUGGCCAUACCCUCAUGGCUCUUAUGAAGUCCCAGAAGGGUCGAGGGCAACUGUAACUGAUUUCAGAGGAGACCUGUUUCUUCCUGCAGCCAUGGAGCUGACUGGGAGACACGAGUGGUCCUGAGCAUCCCUGAAGGCAGAAGCAUCACCAUCCAGUGGGUGUGGGGAGCUGGCCUGAGGGACUGGGGACCUGAGUGUCACCCCGUCCUGCCUCUAGGGCUGCUUCUCCCAGCUCUCCUUCAGUCUCUGACUGUCUGCCUUCCCGUUUGGUUUUUCCAAACCAGGAAAAGGAGGCUGCAGCUGUGAAUAAAUUAUUAAAUAAUUGUGCCUAAUAUA